rnacentral:rRNA from 1 species
AUUGAACGCUGGCGGCAUGCCUUACACAUGCAAGUCGAACGGCAGCACGGACUUCGGUCUGGUGGCGAGUGGCGAACGGGUGAGUAAUAUAUCGGAACAUACCCUAGAGUGGGGGAUAACGUAGCGAAAGUUACGCUAAUACCGCAUACGAUCUAAGGAUGAAAGCGGGGGAUCGCAAGACCUCGUGCUCAUGGAGUGGCCGAUAUCUGAUUAGCUAGUUGGUGAGGUAAAGGCUCACCAAGGCGACGAUCAGUAGCUGGUUUGAGAGAACGAAUCGGCACCCUGGAACUGAGCGACGGUACAGACGCCUACGGGAGGAAGCAGUGGGGAAUUUUGGAAAAGGGGCGAAAGCCUGAUCCAGCAAUGCCGCGUGAGGGAAGAAGGCCUUCGGGUUGUAAAGUUCUUUUGUCAGGGAAGAAACGGUUGUGGCUAAUAUCCAUGGCUAAUGACGGUACCGGAAGAAUAAGCACCGGCUAACUACGUGCCAGCCGCCGCAGUAAGAC